GGGAAAGUAGCUCAGUGGCAGAGCGUGACGGUGCAAACGGCGAGGUCGGUGGUUCGAAUCCAUCCUUUUCCA
rnacentral:tRNA from 1 species